UACGGUAACUUAGUGGUCAUGGUUUCAGAUUCGUAUUUUCGUUCAGUCACAAGUUCGAUCCUUGGCCGUUAAA